GCACUGCUCUUCUAUGGCACGGACUUC
rnacentral:piRNA from 1 species